UACGAAGGGGGCUAGCGUUGCUCGGAAUCACUGGGCGUAAAGGGUGCGUAGGCGGGUCUUUAAGUCAGGGGUGAAAUCCUGGAGCUCAACUCCAGAACUGCCUUUGAUACUGAGGAUCUUGAGUUCGGGAGAGGUGAGUGGAACUGCGAGUGUAGAGGUGAAAUUCGUAGAUAUUCGCAAGAACACCGGUGGCGAAGGCGGCUCACUGGCCCGGAACUGACGCUGAGGCACGAAAGCGUGGGGAGCAAACAGG
rnacentral:rRNA from 1 species